rnacentral:tRNA from 1 species
AGCCCCGAGGUGUUUGACACGCCGGAUUGCAAAUCCAGAGGAGCAGCUGAAAAGUCUGCCGGGGCUU